rnacentral:rRNA from 1 species
AGUGAACGCUGGCGGUAGGCCUAACACAUGCAAGUCGAACGGCAGCACAGUAAGAGCUUGCUCUUACGAGUGGCGAGUGGCGGACGGGUGUGGAAUACAUCGGAAUCUACUUUUUCGUGGGGGAUAACGUAGGGAAACUUACGCUAAUACCCCAUACGACCUACGGGUGAAAGCAGGGGAUCUUCGGACCUUGCGCGACUGAAUGAGCCGAUGUCGGAUUAGCUAGUUGGCGGGGUAAAGGCCCACCAAGGCGACGAUCCGUAGUUGGUCUGAGAGGAUGAUCAGCCACACUGGAACUGAGACACGGUCCAGACUCCUACGGGAGGCAGCAGUGGGGAAUAUUGGACAAAGGGCGCAAGCCUGAUCCAGCCAUACCGCGUGGGUGAAGAAGGCCUUCGGGUUGUAAAGCCCUUUUGUUGGGAAAGAAAAGCAGCAGGUUAAUACCCCGCUGUUCUGACGGUACCCAAAGAAUAAGCACCGGCUAACUUCGUG